rnacentral:rRNA from 1 species
AACGAACGCUGGCGGCAUGCCUAACACAUGCAAGUCGAACGAGACCUUCGGGUCUAGUGGCGCACGGGUGCGUAACGCGUGGGAACCUGCCCUUAGGUUCGGAAUAACUUCCCGAAAGGGGUGCUAAUACCGGAUAAUGUCUUCGGACCAAAGAUUUAUCGCCUUUGGAUGGGCCCGCGUUGGAUUAGCUAGUUGGUAGGGUAAAAGCCGACCAAGGCGACGAUCCAUAGCUGGUCUGAGAGGAUGAUCAGCCACACUGGGACUGAGACACGGCCCAGACUCCUACGGGAGGCAGCAGUGGGGAAUAUUGGACAAUGGGCGAAAGCCUGAUCCAGCAAUGCCGCGUGAGUGAUGAAGGCCUUAGGGUUGUAAAGCUCUUUUACCCGGGAUGAUAAUGACAGUACCGGGAGAAUAAGCUCCGGCUAACUCCGUG